rnacentral:lncRNA from 1 species
UUUCGAAAACACUAUCAUGAAUUAAAACCGAUUAUCAGAUUAUCAGUGGCUAUUUGUACCUUGUAAGCAGGUUUUGAUCAAACAUAAUAAAGCAUUUUCUGACAUGUAGUAUACAGGUCGUCACUUCUGUACACCCAAUGGAAACAAGAACACAAGAUAAGUGACGAGUCCAUCUUGCACUCCUGUUUCGAACCAAAAUUGUAAUCUAAAAUGAUUUUGUUAUUCCACUGAUAAUCUAUGUAUUCACCCGGAAGCUCAUACGUGUAAAUUCAACUACUUAUAGCAUGGUGCGUGAAAUGACACAAAACAAUAACGACAACUAAACAAUAAUUGUGGU